UACCUUUUACCCGUACCACAUCAAUGAUCUUGCAGUUUCUUGAUAUUUUUUAACAAAUUAAAACAAAAUUAAUAAAUAUUGUUUUAUAGCACAGCUAAGACUGAUUAUCCGCCAUCACAUCGCUCUCACCAACCCUUAUCCAUGAAGCAUCUUUUUCAAAUUUCAAACGCACACCCACCUCAUGCGAAAGGGCAUCCGCAUCACAAAUGGAGAACACAGGUGCGUCCUACGCAUCGUCUUUCCACCCGCUUAAACGCAAAUUCUCAGUCAAAAAGAACAAGUGUGUACCAUAAGCGGGUCUCCACCCGCAACACACCAUCCGCAGAAAGAAAAAAAAACACUCAGCUAGUCCAGAAUUCCACCCGCUCACUCGUACGCACAGGAGCACCACAUGACUAGGGGACUUAAAGGGGUAUAGUCCUACACCCCCCCCCCCCCCCCCCCCGCGCGGGCCUAAGACCAUAUUUACACUUAACCCAAAAAACAACCAAUUGGUAAUAACAAAUCCCUCAUGGGCCAGCACGGAGGAACACAAAUAGUAAAAGGUGAAAGCGACAUGCGGCCAAUCACGACUCGCCAGCCGCUAUGCCAGGAGAUCCCCAUGACGUGCCAUCGUGUAAGGGACAAAGGGUACAACAGACAAGGAUGUGUGGCCAAUCACGAGAAACCAGUUCACCUCUCCUUAACCUUCACUAACGGUCAAUCGUUGACGAAACAAGAAAUACAUCCAGAAAGGGCGUGUAGCAAAUCACGGCUCGCAGAUGUACUCCCACCUCUGCAGGCACUAACUGCCACAACAAAGGGGACCAAAUGAAUAUUCCUUGACAAUGACACCUCGUCCAAUCAACCUUCUUUCUUCUCCAAACCUCUCGGCUAUAAAAUAAAUUACCACACUCCUCCAAAGAUUACUCUCUGGAUGUGAACUUGUGGUGAUCAUAAGAUUAAUCCCCCCGGUUAAACAUCAGGUCCUAUCCCUACGGAUUAGACUCAUGUUUCUUGGGUUCCCAUAUCUUUCGUAUAUAUAGUGGAACCACUUGAGAAUAAAUAUCUUUAGUGAUGUGAUAUAA